UACCCUGAAUGAUGGAUCAUUUGGUUCGUGAGUCAAUAAAUAACGCAGCUAAUUAUGCGUCAACUUGUGAACUGCAGGACAUGAAUAUCGAUAUUUCGAACGCACAUUGCGGUCCACGGAUACAAUUCUCGGAUCACGCCUGGCUGAGGAUCG
rfam:Atta colombica isolate Treedump-2 unplaced genomic scaffold scaffold56, whole genome shotgun sequence.